GAUGAAGAACGUAGCGAAAUGCGAUAAGUAAUGUGAAUUGCAGAAUUCAGUGAAUCAUCGAAUCUUUGAACGCACCUUGCGCCCUUUGGCUAUUCCAAAGGGCAUGCCUGUUUGAGUAUCAUGAACACCUCAACUCUCAUGGUCUGCCAUGAUGAGCUUGGACUUUGGAGGUCUGCUGGCCUGUGGUCAGCUCCUCUCAAAUGAAUCAGCUUUCCGGUGUUUGGUGGCAUCAUGGGUGUGAUAAAUAUCUACGCUUGUGGUUUUCCACCAGGUAACCUUCAGUGAUGGGGGUUCGCUGGGGCUCAUAAAUGUCUCUCCUCAGCGAAGACAGCUUUGUGAAUGUUUGAUCUCAAAUCAGGUAGGACUACCCGCUGAACUUAAGAAUAUCAAUAGCGGAGGA
rnacentral:misc_RNA from 1 species